AAGUCGUAACAAGGUUUCCGUAGGUGAACCUGCGGAAGGAUCAUUAUUGAAACUUGAAUCGUAGCAUUGAGAACUGUUGCUGACCUAUUAAAGGGUAUGUGCACGUUCGACGUGUUGCGUUCUAUUCAUCCACCUGUGCACCUUUGUAGACUUGAUUAACUUUCGCUCUUGAGCGGUUAGAAGGGUUGCUUUCGAGCUCCCUUUGUCUAUCAAGUCUAUGUCUAUAUAAUCUCUUGUAUGUCUAGAAUGUCUUGUUUAUGGGACGCAAGUCCUUUAAAUCUUAUACAACUUUCAACAACGGAUCUCUUGGCUCUC
rnacentral:misc_RNA from 1 species